UAGAGUUUCCUUUAUCGAGAUCUUUAGCAUGUAUUAAAAACCAUCCAUGAUCAUCAUGUAAGCCUCUAAAAUUUAAAUUCUUAAUGCAAUACUAUAUUUUACAAGCAACCUCAUCAACAAUGACAAAAGAUCCCCAGGUCAACAUAUAAAUCCAAACUUGAACUGAGGUUUCAUACCCACUAUAUAGUCUCCGAUAGACAUAAAUAAGAUCUAUUAUUUGGAUUCA
rnacentral:lncRNA from 1 species